CCGUGGUUGAUAAGAAACAAGUGAUAUUUGAAAAUUAGGUGGCCCGAACCACUUCUUUUUCCUUAAGUUUCCUACUUUGAGUAUAGAGCGUUCUUGCUUACAGGCACUCACCUCUACACAACAUUAGGAGACAAUGGGAGCUAUCAUCUGAUCGAACUGCACAGUACCCAUCUACCAUGUUAUUGCCAGCUGACCAUGAUGAUCGUGUGGUGCCUUUGCACUCACUUAAAUAGUUGGCUGUGUGUUCUCUGAAACUGCUGCAGUGCAUGCUUUUUCUUGUCACUAAGUGAUACCAUGCCGCACACGCCUUUCCUUUCCUAAAAUAUGUACUGUAUUAUAUUGCAGACAUUGCAACAUGUUCCUUGCACAAGCUUGGAGAAUAGCCCUCAAAAGAAUCUAAUUAUUGAUAGAACUAAGUUUAAGGCUGGUCAUGGAGCAGGACGCCCAACUCAAAAGAUGGUUGGUACCCUAUAAUGCGAGUUCGUGUUGAAAACAUCAGGAAGGCUUGAACAUAACAGCAACGAAAGAUUGGACAAACUUCAGACUGUAAGCUUCAGUGGAGUGUAGUGUGGCCCAGAAUGAUGAUCUUGAUGGUAAAUAGAGUUUUAAUCUCGCAAUGCUGCAGGGUACUUACUUAAUUACCUAAGGUGGAAUAUGCAUCAAGUCUGACAGACAAAUAGGGAGGGCAGCAGACAAAACUUGAUUAUUUUGUUAGGUUUGCACGUCACUAAGUGGAGAGCGUUUCACCAAUGAGCAAAUUGAUGAAAUACGAGACAAAUGGGAAUCAUACUUCACCGAACAUUGUGUGUAAAUAACCUUUCAUCGAUCUCUUUUUGUGGAUGUUUCCUGCUAUUGAAGUCAUAUAUAAUUGCCUUAUUAUAUUUUUGGUGCAAAAUUGUAACGUACGAAGUGUAAAAGACAUGGUUACGUUCGACUUCAAACGUAACUAUUUAGUUGGUUUAUUUUUGUAAACAUAUGAUGGUGGUAUUAUAUGUAAAAAUCAAAGUUUAUUGGAAGUUAUUGGUGGUUGAUGAUA